CGGACGGGUGAGUAACACGUGGAUAACCUACCUAUAAGACUGGGAUAACUUCGGGAAACCGGAGCUAAUACCGGAUAAUAUAUUGAACCGCAUGGUUCAAUAGUGAAAGACGGUUUUGCUGUCACUUAUAGAUGGAUCGCGCCGCAUUAGCUAGUUGGUAAGGUAACGGCUUACCAAGGCAACGAUGCGUAGCCGACCUGAGAGGGUGAUCGGCCACACUGGAACUGAGACACGGUCCAG
rnacentral:rRNA from 1 species